AAGGGUGCUAGACGUUGAUAUUUUUUGCUAGUGCUGUGAUAGUAUAUGCUAGUUUGGAACUUUUUUAGAUGUCAAAUGGCAUACCAUAGGCUAUAGACACAUUGCAGAAGGCUUGUUCUUUAGAAAUCAAUACAUUAUUGCGUUAUAAAUUUCCAAGUAAAUUGUUCUGGCUGAUAUAUUUUUCUUCUUGCUUUGUUGAAGUAUAAACCAUUUUUAUCCUACUCAAAGUUUGUAGUACUGACCCAUACCAAGCGGUUCAGUGCAUACCAUACCAUAAUGACCCAAUAUGAAACUAGUACGGUAUAAUAGGGUCUCAGUACAUCCACAUGCCAAGCCACAUGAUAUAGUUGCUGUGCCAACUCCAGCAGCUUACCAUAUGUCAGUACAGGAAUGCACCAUACCUAUCCAACUCAUAUUGAUAAGCGAUAGGUAUAAAUUCCACUGCCAAGAUUAAAAAUCUUGACUUUAAUUUACACAUAACCUAUAGUCUUUCUCGGCUUCCUGUUAUCAGUCAAUCCUCCAAAAUUAUUCAAGCCAAAUCCACUAGCCCCCCCAAAGAAAGAGUCAG
rnacentral:lncRNA from 1 species